rnacentral:rRNA from 1 species
UAAUACGUACCGUACGAACGUUAUUCGGAAUCACUGGGCUUAAAGAGUACGUAGGCGGCUCGGUAGGUGAGGUGUGAAAUCCCACGGCUCAACCGUGGAACUGCGCUUCAAACCACCGAGCUUGAGGGAGACAGGGGUGAGCGGAACUGAUGGUGGAGCGGUGAAAUGCGUUGAUAUCAUCAGGAACACCGGUGGCGAAGGCGGCUCACUGGGUCUCUUCUGACGCUGAGGUACGAAAGCUAGGGUAGCGAACGGGAUUAGAUACCCCGGUAGUCCUAGCUGUAAACGAUGAGCACUAGAUCGAGGAAACUUCCACAUUUUCUCGGUCGUAGCGAAAGUGUUAAGUGCUCCGCCUGGGGAGUAUGGUCGCAAGGCUG